UACAGAGGUCCCAAGCGUUGUUCGGAUUCACUGGGCGUAAAGGGUGCGUAGGCGGUGAGGUAAGUUUGACGUGAAAUCUCCGGGCUCAACCCGGAAACUGCGUUGAAUACUAUCUCGCUAGAGGAAUGGAGGGGAGGACUGGAAUACUUGGUGUAGCAGUGAAAUGCGUAGAUAUCAAGUGGAACACCAGUGGCGAAGGCGAGUCUCUGGACAUUUCCUGACGCUGAGGCACGAAAGCCAGGGGAGCAAACGGG
rnacentral:rRNA from 1 species